rnacentral:rRNA from 1 species
GCUAGUACAGGUGGUGCAUGGCUGUCGUCAGCUCGUGUCGUGAGAUGUUGGGUUAAGUCCCGCAACGAGCGCAACCUUACCCUUAGUGUUUCCCGAAGGAUUACCCUCUAAGGGGACUGCCCCGGACAACGGGGAGGAAGGUGGGGGAUGACGUCAAGUCCGCAUGCUCCUUACGUCUAGGGCUACACACGUCCUACAAUGGGGUCGACAGUGGGAUGCAAAGCCGCGAGGUGGAGCCAAUCCCCAAACGGCCUCUCAGUUCGGAUAGUAGUCUGCAACUCGACUACUUGAAGUCGGAAUCGCUAGUAAUGGCGGAUCAGCAUGCCGCCGUGAAUACGUUCCCGGGUCUU